AACGCACCACUGGUGUACGGGUUGUGAUGCCAAUUGCAUUGCCCGGUAGCUAAGUGCGGAAGAGAUAACCGCUGAAAGCAUCUAAGCGGGAAACUUGCCUCGAGAUGAGUCUUCCCUGACCCUUUAAGGGUCCUGAAGGAACGUUUGAGACUAAGACGUUGAUAGGCUGGGUGUGUAAGCGCAGCGAUGCGUUGAGCUGACCAGUACUAAUGAACCGAGAGGCUUAACCUG
rnacentral:rRNA from 1 species